AUUGAACGCUGGCGGCAUGCCUUACACAUGCAAGUCGAACGGCAGCACGGGUGCUUGCACCUGGUGGCGAGUGGCGAACGGGUGAGUAAUACAUCGGAACGUACCUUAUCGUGGGGGAUAACGCAGCGAAAGCUGUGCUAAUACCGCAUACGCCCUGAGGGGGAAAGCGGGGGAUCGAAAGACCUCGCGCGAUUAGAGCGGCCGAUGCCUGAUUAGCUUGUUGGUGGGGUAAAAGCCCACCAAGGCGACGAUCAGUAGCUGGUCUGAGAGGACGAUCAGCCACACUGGGACUGAGACACGGCCCAGACUCCUACGGGAGGCAGCAGUGGGGAAUUUUGGACAAUGGGGGCAACCCUGAUCCAGCAAUGCCGCGUGAGUGAAGAAGGCCUGGUUGUAAAGCUCUUUACCAGGGAUGAUAAUGACAGUACCUGGAGAAUAAGCUCCGGCUAACUCCGUG
rnacentral:rRNA from 1 species